rnacentral:rRNA from 1 species
UAGGGAAUCUACGGCAAUGGCCGGAAGUCUGACCGAGCAACGCCGCGAGUGUGAAGAAGGUUUUCGGAUCGUAAAGUCCUGUUGUUAGAGAAGAACGUUGGUAGGAGUGGAAAAACUACCAAGUGACGGUAACUAACAAGAAAGGGACGGCUAACUACGUGCCAGCAGCCGCGGUAAUACGUAGGUCCCGAGCGUUGUCCGGAUUUAUUGGGCGUAAAGCGAGCGCAGGCGGUUCUUUAAGUCUGAAGUUAAAGGCAGUGGCUUAACCGUUGUACGCUUUGGAAACUGGAGGACUUGAGUGCCGAAGGUGAGAGUGGAAUUCCAUUUGUAGCGGUGAGAUGCGUAGAUAUAUGGCGUAACACCGGUGGCGAGAGCGGCUCUCUGGUCUGUAACUGACGCUAAGGCUCGAAAGCGUGGGGAGCAAACAGU